UAGCCAGACUCCUACGGGAGGCAGCAGUGGGGAAUAUUGCACAAUGGGGGAAACCCUGAUGCAGCGACGCCGCGUGAGUGAAGAAGUAUUUCGGUAUGUAAAGCUCUAUCAGCAGGGAAGAAAUAGCGACCUUUGGGUCGCCAGACGGUACCUGAUUAAGAAGCCCCGGCUAACUACGUGCCAGCAGCCGCGGUAAUACGUAGGGGGCAAGCGUUAUCCGGAUUUACUGGGUGUAAAGGGGGCGCAGACGGCCAUGGCAAGCCCGGUGUGAAAGGCAGGGGCAUAACCCCUGGACUGCACUGGGAACUGUCAGGCUGGAGUGCCGGAGGGGUAAGCGGAAUUCCUGGUGUAGCGGUGAAAUGCGUAGAUAUCAGGAGGAACACCGGCGGCGAAGGCGGCUUACUGGACUGUAAAUGACGCUGAGGCUCGAAAGCGUGGGGAGCAAACAGGAUUAGAUACCCUGGUA
rnacentral:rRNA from 1 species